rnacentral:rRNA from 1 species
UACGAAGGGGGCUAGCGUUGCUCGGAAUCACUGGGCGUAAAGCGCACGUAGGCGGACUCUUAAGUCGGUGGUGAAAUCCUGGAGCUCAACUCCAGAACUGCCUUCGAUACUGGGAGUCUCGAGUUCGGGAGAGGUGAGUGGAACUGCGAGUGUAGAGGUGAAAUUCGUAGAUAUUCGCAAGAACACCAGUGGCGAAGGCGGCUCACUGGCCCGAAACUGACGCUGAGGCACGAAAGCGUGGGGAGCAAACAGG